UACGUAGGGCGCAAGCGUUUGUCCGGAAUUAUUGGGCGUAAAGAGCUCGUAGGCGGCUUGUCACGUCGAUUGUGAAAGCCCGAGGCUUAACCUCGGGUCUGCAGUCGAUACGGGUUAGCUAGAGUGUGGUAGGGGAGAUCGGAAUUCCUGGUGUAGCGGUGAAAUGCGCAGAUAUCAGGAGGAACACCGGUGGCGAAGGCGGAUCUCUGGGCCAUUACUGACGCUGAGGAGCGAAAGCGUGGGGAGCGAACAGG
rnacentral:rRNA from 1 species